GGGGUGCAGCAGGCGCGAAACCUCCGCAAUGUGAGAAAUCGCGACGGGGGGAUCCCAAGUGCCAUUCUUAACGGGAUGGCUUUUCAUUAGUGUAAAGAGCUUUUGGAAUAAGAGCUGGGCAAGACCGGUGCCAGCCGCCGCGGUAACACCGGCAGCUCUAGUGGUAACAAUUUUUAUUGGGCCUAAAGCGUCCGUAGCCGGUUUAAUAAGUCUCUGGUGAAAUCCUGUAGCUUAACUGUGGGAAUUGCUGGAGAUACUAUUAGACUUGAGACCGGGAGAGGUUAGAGGUACUCCCAGGGUAGAGGUGAAAUUCUGUAAUCCUGGGAGGACCGCCUGUUGCGAAGGCGUCUAACUGGAACGGUUCUGACGGUGAGGGACGAAAGUUAGGGGCGCGAACCGGAUUAGAUACCCGGGUAGUCCUAACUGUAAACGAUGCGGACUUGGUGUUGGGGGUGGCUUUGAGCUGCUCCAGUGCCGAAGGGAAGCUGUUAAGUCUGCCGCCUGGGAAG
rnacentral:rRNA from 1 species